rnacentral:rRNA from 1 species
UACGUAGGGUGCAAGCGUUAAUCGGAAUUACUGGGCGUAAAGCGUGCGCAGGCGGUUGUGUAAGUCUGACGUGAAAUCCCCGGGCUCAACCUGGGAAUUGCGUUGGAGACUGCAAGGCUAGAAUCUGGCAGAGGGGGGUAGAAUUCCACGUGUAGCAGUGAAAUGCGUAGAUAUGUGGAGGAACACCGAUGGCGAAGGCAGCCCCCUGGGCUAAGAUUGACGCUCAUGCACGAAAGCGUGGGGAGCAAACAGG